rnacentral:lncRNA from 1 species
CUCAGUGAUCCCUUGCCAUUUGGGCUUACUCUUGCUCUCAGGGUCCAUCCUCCAGACACCUAGAGACCACCCCUAGGAAUUCACAUUGCUCAAGAGAGUUCCCAUUCUUGUUUUUAGGGAAGGCUUCACACGUGCCAAUUUAGCUGUGAAACAUACAUUCUAGCACCUGAGGAAUUGAAGACAUUGAGGACUGUUCAAGAGGCCAGGAAAUCAC